rnacentral:rRNA from 1 species
GGGUGCGUAACGGGUGUGCAAUCUGCCCAUAAUCGGGGCAUAGCCUAACGAAAGUUGGAUUAAUUCCCCAUGUGCUAUGAAGAGGCAUCUCUUUAUAGUGAAACGCAAGGAUUAUGGUUGAGCACGCUUCUGAUUAGAUAGUUGGUGAGGUAACGGCUCACCAAGUCGACGAUCAGUAGGGGUUCUGAGAGGAAGGUCCCCCACAUUGGAACUGAGACACGGUCCAAACUCCUACGGGAGGCAGCAGUGAGGAAUAUUGGUCAAUGGACGAGAGUCUGAACCAGCCAAGUCGCGUGAAGGAAGACGGUUCUAUGGAUUGUAAACUUCUUUUGCACAAGAGUAAAGUGUGGUACGAGUACCAUAUUGCAAGUAUUGUGUGAAUAAGCAUCGGCUAACUCCGUGCCAGCAGCCGCGGUAAUACGGAGGAUGCGAGUGUUAUUCGGAUUUAUUGGGUUUAAAGGGUACGUAGGCGGGUGAUUAAGUCAGUGGUGAAAGCGUGUAGCUUAACUAUACCGAGCCAUUGAAACUGGUUAUCUUGAGUACAGUAGCGGUAGGCGGAAUGUGGCGUGUAGCGGUGAAAUGCUUAGAUAUGCUUCAGAACUCCGAUUGCGAAGGCAGCU